CCUACGGGAGGCAGCAGUGGGGAAUCUUCCGCAAUGGGCGAAAGCCUGACGGAGCAACGCCGCGUGAUCGAAUGAAGGCCUUCGGGUUGUAAAGAUCUGUUGACAGGGACGAAUAAGCAAUGCGAAUAGUUUUGUGUAUGACGGUACCUGUUUAGAAAGCUCCGGCUAACUACGUGCCAGCAGCCGCGGUAAUACGUAGGGAGCAAGCGUUGUCCGGAAUUACUGGGCGUAAAGGGCGCGUAGGUGGGCGCUUAAGUCAGGUGUGAAAACUCCGGGCUCAACCUGGAGACUGCACUUGAAACUGGGUGUCUUGAGGGCAGGAGAGGAAAGUGGAAUUCCUAGUGUAGCGGUGAAAUGCGUAGAUAUCUGGAGGAACAUCAGUGGCGAAGGCGACUAUCUGGCACAUAACUGACGCUGAGGAGCGAAAGCGUGGGUAGCAAACAGGAUUAGAUACCCGGGUAGUC
rnacentral:rRNA from 1 species